CCCCUCGCUCCCGGGGAGAAGCUGUCCUUGCUGCCGGUGUCACCUGCCCGGCACAGCGGGAGGCAGGGAACAGACACUUCGAGAGAAGACAAAAGUACAAACACCAGCUAGAUGCUGUCUGAGAGCUGGGCCACUGGACCGAAGCCCCUGAUCACCGUCAGGCUCCAGGACAAAAUGCAGAGCUUGUUUCUAAGGGAGUCUGCCCGUGACCGUGACUGGCAGAGCGCAGGUACAGAACUCACACCUAACUUUAAGAACGGAAUCUUCACUCUGUGUCCCUCGUCACGUGUUACGGUGCCCAUGGCUGAGGCUGCCACAGUACAGUGGCAGGGGACCCCUCGCUGGCUCCGGGCUCAGGCAGGCUACCCCCGGGCACAGGAGGGGGCAGACCCAACCGUCACGGGUCAUCCAUGCCCACCGCGGCCAGGCUUACCGCCGGCUCCCUUUCUUCCUCCCGCCCUGUGAUCCCUUUCUGUGACUAUAAUUAGUGUCACAUUAAAGGUAAGUGUCAAAAAGGAGUUCGGCGGCCCCCGCUCAGGCACCCCGGCAGGAGGACGGAGGGAGGGGAGCACAUCUGUGCUUGUUGCCAUGGUGACUGUGGAAGAAGGGGACGUGAGUGUCUUGCUGCACCUUACAGGUCCCAUAACCUGGGAUGGCCUGGGCUCCCUGGGGGUGGCAGCGAACCCGGGAGAAGAGCAAGCCCCCCCUGCCCCCCGCUCCCCGUCCUUCAACCUGUGCUAAGGACACACCCAGGCCCUGCAGGACCAGCGGCUUCUGUGCCCCACAGCCACAGGCGGAGGCUGGGCUCACCUCCCCGGGACCCGGGCCCUUCUGCGUCAGCAUCUCUCUGCAAAAGUGUGAGCCAGGGCGGCCCAGGUCCUGGGGAAGGGCCUGUGGGGAUCCUGAUGACCGGCUCUGUGACGCUGCUUCAGGCAGGUGUGCUGAAGGGACACGGCGACCAGGCUGAAGGCGAGGGCAGUCUGGGAGCCUCACAGCCGGCUGCAGACCCUGGAUGUCCCCAUGGCCACCUGGCCCCGGGCAGCACACUGGAGUGGGGACUGGAAGCUUCUGGUGGGGGUUGAGCCCCAACUCCUAAAAGUAGAAGCCCUGAAAUGGAGGUGGUUCCAAGUGCCACUUUUCCGGGGAGAAGAGACACUUCCUCCCUGGGCGAGGGGUGCGGGCUCCUCAGCAGCCGGACGGGGGCCCCUUGCACCCCUUCCUCCAGGCUCUUCUCAGUGAACCCACCUGCCCUCCUGCGGAGAGACACCCCCAAGGGAGAGGCGGGGUCCCCCAGCGGAGCAGCCCGGACUCAGCAACUUCUGGGAGGGACUCCUCAGCUCCAGAAUCCGGAGUCACUCACCUGGCCAGCAGGGCGGGCACAGGGGAGUCCCCAGGGGCGCCUCCUCCGUGCAGCGCACCAGCGCAGAACCGCAGCCCCACACCCCUGGCACGGCAGCCCCC